GGACGAACGCUGGCGGCGUGCCUAAUACAUGCAAGUCGAACGAACGGAGGAAGAGCUUGCUCUUCCAAAGUUAGUGGCGGACGGGUGAGUAACACGUGGGCAACCUGCCUGUAAGUUGGGGAUAACUCCGGGAAACCGGGGCUAAUACCGAAUGAUAAGGAGUGACGCAUGUCACUGCUUUGAAAGAUGGUUUCGGCUAUCGCUUACAGAUGGGCCCGCGGUGCAUUAGCUAGUUGGUAGGGUAAAGGCCUACCAAGGCAACGAUGCAUAGCCGACCUGAGAGGGUGAUCGGCCACACUGGGACUGAGACACGGCCCAGACUCCUACGGGAGGCAGCAGUAGGGAAUCUUCCGCAAUGGACGAAAGUCUGACGGAGCAACGCCGCGUGUAUGAAGAAGGUUUUCGGAUCGUAAAGUACUGUUGUUAGAGAAGAACAAGGAUAAGAGUAACUGCUUGUCCCUUGACGGUAUCUAACC
rnacentral:rRNA from 1 species